AGGGCACCACCAGGAGUGGAGCCUGCGGCUUAAUUUGACUCAACACGGGAAAUCUCACCAGGCCCGGACACCGGAAGGAUUGACAGAUUGAGAGCUCUUUCUUGAUUCGGUGGGUGGUGGUGCAUGGCCGUUCUUAGUUGGUGGAGCGAUUUGUCUGGUUAAUUCCGAUAACGAACGAGACUCUGGCCUACUAACUAGACGUUGGAUCCCUUUGUGGGUCCAUCGCAGCUUCUUAGAGGGACGGGCGGCGUUUAGCCGCACGAGAUUGAGCAAUAACAGGUCUGUGAUGCCCUUAGAUGUUCUGGGCUGCACGCGCGCUACACUGAAGGAAUCAGCGUGUGUUCCCUAUCCGAAAGGAUUGGGAAACCCGUUGAACCUCCCUCGUGAUGGGGAUUGGGGAUUGCAAUUAUUCCCCAUGAACGAGGAAUUCCCAGUAGGCGCGAGUCAUAAGCUUGCGUCGAUUACGUCCCUGCCCUUUGUACACACCGCCCGUCGCUACUACCGAUCGAGUGAUUUAGU
rnacentral:rRNA from 1 species